CAGCGCCCCCCCCCCUUCUCCCUCUCUCCUCAUACGUAUUCGCAGGCGCUCGCAAGAGAAGCCGUAGGAUCUGCCAUCUACUCACUCAAGAAGAUGCCGCUCUUCUCUCUUCCCGCGCACGAGGCGGACACGCCGCCGGAGCCCUUAGACGCGGACUCGCGGCGGCAUUCGUGCGGUGAUGACGUGGAGCUGUGCUGCCGCCUUACCGCAGCAGAGGAGCUGCACGGACACCUGCGUGACUGCUUCAGCCUCUUCGCCUCUCGCUUCGAGCACACCACCGUCGCUCUCGCGUGCAUUCAAGCGCUUUUCCCGUCGUCGCCGCCACCGGCACGGAGUGGGGCGCUUCCCGGCACACCGGAGGCAAGCGAGGCGGAGGCUGACGCGCCACGAUCAGCAGGCGGCGCCUUCGACCUCUCUACCGUGGCCACAGUGCUGUUCCUCCACGUUGAGGACAAGCUGGGCGCUUGCCUUGGUGCCGCUGCUGGAAGCAAUGACGAAGCCAAGACACCGCUGCUGGGGGUUGUCGUCGCCUUCCAGUACUGGAGGGGGUUUCAUUGCGUUGCCGAGCGUCGUUACGCCUCGGCAGCGGAGGCGCAGGGCGAAGCAGCGGCGCUGGAGAGAGGGAAUCUCACCGUGUCUGAGCUGCUGAGGAUGCCGCAGUGGCAGCUGAUUAGCGAGUCGGCGGCGGAGGCGAGCCUCUCGCCCACUCCGGGCAGCGGCCAUGCAAAACUCAACACAAGUCCUGGGAGCACCGAUCUGACGUCGGGCUUUUCUGGUAUAGAGGAGAAUACAGUAGCGAAACAUGGCGCCGCGUACGAGAGUCUCAUGGCUCUGAUGGUGGACACGUACCUCUGAAUAUGCGCGCGUGUGUGAGCCUACUUCUCUCUGCUCUCUGGAUCACUGGU
rnacentral:misc_RNA from 1 species